rnacentral:tRNA from 1 species
GCAGGUGUGGUGGAAUUGGUAGACACGUUAGACUUAGGAUCUAAUGCAGCGAUGUGUGGGAGUUCGAGUCUCCCCACCUGUACAA